rnacentral:misc_RNA from 1 species
CGGUUCGAGUCCGCUUACCUCCACUGAAACCUACCCUGGUAACUAAAUUUCCGGAGGAAUUUCUUGAUGUGACUUAGUAUUGUCUAUAUGAAAGAACCUAGCUUCUUAUCAUCUUUAAAAGUUGAUAAUAUGCUGGGCUCCCAUGGAUUGAAUCCAUGAGAAUUCAGUA